AAAUAAGAAGCUAAAAAAGCCUUUAAUUUCGACUUAAAAAUCUGAGUACUCAACUUACUCCUUAUUUA
rnacentral:tRNA from 1 species